GAACACGAAUAUAAUCAAAUCUUUUCCUUUCCAUUCCCUUAUAAUUCCUCUUCUUUUCUCUUCUAACGUUAAAUGAAACUCGGAAACAAAGUGUAAGAGCCUCGUUAAGAGGUAAACAAACAACCCCUAAAUUUGUCCGGUUAUGAUCAAUUUCUAAAUGUCUUCAGUUAUGAGAUAAAAACAUAACCUAUAUCCGUCAAUGCACCUGAGAAUCUGCAGCCUUUGCUGUCUAAUUCAUUUCUUUUGUUUAUUCUAAUUUGAUUUUUCAAACUCAAAUAAUUUGUGCAUUAUAAACUGGCUGUUAGGAUUGUUCUCGGAUCAUACACCGAACUGGAUAGGUAAUUGACCGCACUAGAAUGAGACCAUUAAGUUAAGUGUGAAAAAUAGUGAAUUGAAGACCGCCCGGUUUUUUACCUUUCUUUUCAGUUGACCGGUUUGACAACUGAUGGAGUGGCCUGCAAUAAUGGGUUUAAGUUGUGCAGUCUGUUUGAAGAUUUGAUCAUGGGUCUUAGUGCCAUUAAUUUUGGUGAUAGUGGUUUCGUAAUAGUUAGAGAUGGAAGCGAUUGUGAUUUGCUCACUUCUGGUCAGGCUCGUACAAAAAUUAAAUGAUUCUUUUGUCAUGAACUUUUCCAUGCUAUUUUAUUAUUUCUUUUUUUU